rnacentral:lncRNA from 1 species
GAAUGCUUCCUUGUAGUGAUCUUGUCAAUUUCUACAACAUUUCUGAUGUCUCAGUGAUGUUACUGUGGUUUAGACAUGAAGCCUAAGUCAAUGUUUCUCAAAGUAGUAUUGGUGGAAUAUCAGGAAUGCGUGUACCUGUUUUUAGGUUUCACAAGUUCCCUAGAAAUGUCUUUUAAAUGUUGUUUGCAGGUCACUGAUAAUUUAAAGAAAUUCAUUAUAAAUAUAUUCUGUAUUUUAACGUGUUACCCAGUGAUUUUGGAGCCAAAUUUUGGGUUUAUAUUAACUAUUGUCAUGGUAUUAAGCAGCACUAUUGUAUUCAUUGAUCAUAAGAUAGACUUGUUUAGUAUCUCCAAAAUUAUGAUGCACUUACAAUUGAUGACACCUUAGCAUCGUGUCAUAGUUUAAUUAGAAGUAUUUUUCUUAAUUUUAAUUUAAUUAAUUAAUAAUUUAUUUAUUUAUUUAUUUAUUUUUGAGACAGAGUUUUGCUCUUGUUGCCCAGGCUGGAGUGCAAUGGCGCGAUCUUGGCUUACUGCAACCUCUGCCUCCCGGGUUCAAGCAAUUCUCCUGCCUCAGCCUCCUGAGUAGCUGGGAUUACAGGCGCCCGCCAUCAUGCCCAGCUAAUUUUUUGUAUUUUUAGUAGAGAUGG